rnacentral:rRNA from 1 species
AUUGAACGCUGGCGGCAGGCCUAACACAUGCAAGUCGAACGAGUGGCGGACGGGUGAGUAAUGCUUGGGAAUCUCUCUUAUGGAGGGGGAUAACUACGGGAAACUGUAGAUACUACCGCGUACCAUAGGAUGUGCCCAGGUGGGAUUAGUUAGUUGGUGAGGUAAAGGCUCACCAAGUCGACGAUCACUGGCUGGUCUGAGAGGAUGACUAGUCACACGGGUGCGGAGAAGUGGACCAGAAUCCUACGGGAGGCACGAGUGGGGAAUAUUGCGCAAGGGGCAGUAGGCGAAUGCAGCCAGGCGGCGUGAAUGAAGAACGCCUUCGGGGCGUAAAGUACGUGCCGUUGCGAGGCGGUACCUAAAGAAGAAGCACCGGCUAACUCCGUGCCAGCAGCCGCGGUAAUAC